GUGCCAGCAGCCGCGGUAAUACGUAGGGGACAAGCGUUGUCCGGAUUUACUGGGCGUAAAGGGCACGCAGGCGGUUUUUUAAGUCAGAUGUGAAAGGUACCGGCUCAACCGGUGACAUGCAUUUGAAACUGAAAGACUUGAGUAUUGGAGAGGCAAGUGGAAUUCCUAGUGUAGCGGUGAAAUGCGUAGAUAUUAGGAGGAACACCGGUGGCGAAGGCGGCUUGCUGGACAAAUACUGACGCUGAGGUGC
rnacentral:rRNA from 1 species